rnacentral:ncRNA from 1 species
AUUAAGUUUAAUCGAUCGACCUAUACAUGUUAAUUGUAGUAAUUGAUUUUGUUACUUAAAUUAAAGUUAUUAUUUGUUAAACAUGUAAAUAUUUGUGCGUUAUUAAGUUUUAUUAAAUAUAAAUCUUAAAAGGUUUCAGUUUUUAGUAUUAUUAAUUUAUUCGAAUAAAUUAUAGUAAAUUGAUAUUUAGUAUUAUCCUAUUUUAGUGCCAGCAGUUGCGGUUAUACUAAUAAUACAACUUUAACUUUUUCGGUUAGGUAUUAAUUUUUAUUAUUUUAUUCUUAUAUUUUAUUAUUAGGUUAAAUUUUAAUAUCUUAGUUGAGUAAAGGUUCUAUUAAAUAUUAAAUGUGUAUAAAAACUAGGAUUAGAUACCCUAUUAUUAUAUUAAAUAUAUAACCUUAUUAUUAUUAGUUAAUUCUUAAAAAUAAAAAAAUUUGGCGGUAAUUGUUAAUUGUUUAGAGGAACCUGUUUAUUAAUCGAUAAACCACGAUUAAUUUUACCUUUCUUUGUUUUUAUAUAUCGUUAUCAUUGAAUAAUUACUAAGGAUAUUUUCUUAAAUUAUUUUUAUACAAAAUGUUAGAUCAAGGUGUAGAAUAUUAAGGUAUACAAUGGGUUACAUUAAUUAUCAUUUUGGGUGUUAAUACUUGUUUAUUUAUUUAAAUUGGAUUUAAUUGUAAUAGGAUAUAUAUAUAUCCUAUGAAAUUAUUAUAGUUAUGCACAUAUCGCCCGUCAUUCUCAUUCAUUGGGACAAGUCGUAACAAAGUAGGGUUACUGGAAAGUGGUCCUGGUAAGUU